rnacentral:rRNA from 1 species
UACGGGGGGGGCAAGCGUUGUUCGGAAUUACUGGGCGUAAAGGGCUCGUAGGCGGCCAACUAAGUCAGACGUGAAAUCCCUCGGCUUAACCGGGGAACUGCAUCUGAUACUGGAUGGCUUGAGUUCGGGAGAGGGAUGCGGAAUUCCAGGUGUAGCGGUGAAAUGCGUAGAUAUCUGGAGGAAUACCGGUGGCGAAGGCGGCAUCCUGGACCGGCAUUGACGCUGAGGAGCGAAAGCCAGGGGAGCAAACGGG